GAUGAACGCUGGCGGCGUGCUUAACACAUGCAAGUCGAACGGUGAAAGCGGAGCUUGCUCUGCUGGAUCAGUGGCGAACGGGUGAGUAACACGUGAGCAACCUGCCCCGGACUCUGGGAUAACAGUUGGAAACAGCUGCUAAUACCGGAUACGAGCUGCGAAGGCAUCUUCAGCAGCUGGAAAGAACUUCGGUCUGGGAUGGGCUCGCGGCCUAUCAGCUUGUUGGUGAGGUAAUGGCUCACCAAGGCGUCGACGGGUAGCCGGCCUGAGAGGGUGACCGGCCACACUGGGACUGAGACACGGCCCAGACUCCUACGGGAGGCAGCAGUGGGGAAUAUUGGACAAUGGGCGGAAGCCUGAUCCAGCAACGCCGCGUGAGGGAUGACGGCCUUCGGGUUGUAAACCUCUUUCAUCUAUGACGAAGGCUCUGCUUUUUGGUGGGGUUGACGGUAAUGGGAGAAGAAGCACCGGCCAACUACGUGCCAGCAGCCG
rnacentral:rRNA from 1 species